rnacentral:lncRNA from 1 species
GUCAACAUUUGGAUCAUAAUUAUAUUAAAUGUGAAUCGCUGUUUUAUUCAUUUUUAAAUAUUGGUAGUAAUUUAGUUAUAUGUACUGUUUUAUGUUUAGGUAAAUUGGAACUUAAUAAAAAUAAUAUAACACAUGGACAAUUAGUUUCUUUUAUUACUUAUAGUACUAUGCUAGGUCUUGGAAUAUUUGGAAUUCUCAAACUAAAAAAAGAUAUAACUUUACUUCAAUUGAGUUUGCAUAAGAUAUAUCAAAUUUUGGAUUUUACAAAAAAAGAUUCUAUGCUUACGAAUGUGCAUACCCAUGAAAAAAAAGACGAUAACAAUAUUAUAAAUAGUGCUAACAUUAUGGAAACCAAAAAGAUAGGUAAUUUUGAAAAUGUAAUUAAUUUUGAUAAACGAAUUGUUGCUAUUAACAAUCGAGCUAGUGAUGGUGAUAUCCCUAAGAGUAUCAAAGGGACCAUUCGAUUUGAAAAUGUUUCUUUUGCAUAUAACAGUUCUGAUGAAUUUGAUAAAAAAAAUAUAUUAAGAAAUAUAAAUAUACAAAUAAAUGAAAAUGAAAAAGUAGCUAUUAUAGGUAAAAGUGGAGCAGGCAAAUCUACUUUAAGGAAAUUAUUAACAGCCGAAUUUAAUUUUGAAGGUACUAUAUAUAUAGAUAAUUAUAAUAUACAAAAUAUAAACAAAACUUAUUUAAAAAAAAAUAUCAUUUCAUUUUUUGAGCAAGAAUGUAACCUUUUAAGUAGAUCUUUAUAUGAAAAUCUAGUUUAUUCCAUAGUACCUAUAAAAAUAAAAAAUGACUAUUAUUUGUCGAAACUAAUAUUUGAUAACCCUUAUAUAAAUAAGAAUAUGCUCACAAAGAUACUGGCAAGGGGUAAUUAUAAUAAUGCUAGGGUUAACAAUAACAAUGGUAGUAAUUUUAGUAACGAAUACAUAAUCAACCAUAAUGAUUUAAACCUUUUAUCAAACCAAAUGAAAGUAUUAUUAAUAUUACAAUAUGAUGCACAGUUUUUAAAUGAACUUCCAAAAAAUAGUAAUAUUAUACAAAUGAAAAAAAAAUUUAAUUCGUUUUUGAAUUCAUAUAUUGAAAAUAAUGAUGAUUUUUUUACGAAAGAAGAGAAGAAAGUUAUAAGCGAAAGGGUAAAAAAUAUUUUGGUUGAUAAGUGUGGUAUCACUGGUACUAUUAGUAGUGAUGUGCAAAAUGUUAGAACAUUAGACAGUACCAAA